AGACCAUGAUGCAAACAUCUUUGGAUCAACAUCUUAAAUCGCUCCCAAGCUUCGUGAAAACUUUCUCCUUCUAACUAUUCAAAAGUGGUAAUCUCUCCUCUGAGUUG
rfam:Gossypium raimondii chromosome 12, whole genome shotgun sequence.